CCCGUGAGAACGCCCUUUUACCUCAGUCAGACAAAGGAGCAGGCAUCAGGCACAGAAUUCUAGCCCAUAACGCCUAGUUAUACCACACCCUCAAGGGUACUCAGCAGUGACAAAUAUUAUACAUAAGCGUCAGCUUGAUUUAGUUAAAGAAAGUUAGAGCCGGCUAAUCUGGUGCCAGCCGCCGCGGCUACACCAGCAGGCUCAAGUUGAUAAACACCGGCGUUAAGCGUGAUUAAAGAAAACCUAAAUUAGAGUUAAACAUGCAUUUAGUAGUGAUAAGCUUAUUACCUGGAAUAACAAAAACGAAAGUUACUCUAAUUCUGCUUGAAUACACGACAGCCAGGGUACAAACUGGGAUUAGAU
rnacentral:rRNA from 1 species